CCCUUAGAUGUUCAGGGCCGCACGCGUGCUACACUGAGUGGAUCAGCGGGUCAGGUUGCGCGAAAGUGUUUCCUAAUCUUUAAAUCCGCUCGUGAUGGGGAUUGACGGUUGCAAUUUUCCGUCAUGAACGAGGAAUACCUUGUAAGCGCGGGUCAUCAUCCCGCGCUGAAUACGUCCCUGCCCUUUGUACACACCGCCCGUCGCUCCUACCGAUUGAGUGGUCCGGUGAGGCUUUGGGAUCUGAGCGGAAAGAGCGUUUCGCUGUUUCUGCCCGGAAAACUCAGUCGAACCUUAUCAUUUAGAGGAAGGAGAAGUCGUAACA
rnacentral:rRNA from 1 species